rnacentral:rRNA from 1 species
UACGUAGGGUGCGAGCGUUAAUCGGAAUUACUGGGCGUAAAGCGUGCGCAGGCGGUUUUGUAAGUCUGACGUGAAAUCCCCGGGCUCAACCUGGGAAUGGCGAUGGAUACUGGGCAGCUAGAGUGUGUCAGAGGAUGGUGGAAUUCCCGGUGUAGCGGUGAAAUGCGUAGAGAUCGGGAGGAACAUCAGUGGCGAAGGCGGCCAUCUGGGACAACACUGACGCUGAAGCACGAAAGCGUGGGGAGCAAACAGG